UGGGGGAUUUUGCACAAUGGGCGCAAGCCUGAUGCAGCGACGCCGCGUGAGGGAUGAAGGCCUUCGGGUUGUAAACCUCUUUCGCUGGGUUGAAAGGCCAUGCUUUGGGUGUGGUUGAUUUGAACUGGUAAAGAAGUACCGGCUAACUACGUGCCAGCAGCCGCGGUAAUACGUAGGGUACUAGCGUUGUCCGGAUGUAUUGGGCGUAAAGGGCUUGUAGGUGGUUUGUCGCGUCUGUCGUGAAAUCCUGUGGCUUAACCAUGGGCUUGCGGUGGGUACGGGCAGGCUUGAGUUCGGUAGGGGAGACUGGAAUUCCUGGUGUAGCGGUGGAAUGCGCAGAUAUCAGGAGGAACACCGGUGGCGAAGGCGGGUCUCUGGGCCGUUACUGACACUGAGGAGCGAAAGCGUGGGGAGCGAACAGG
rnacentral:rRNA from 1 species